UACGUAGGGUCCAAGCGUUAUCCGGAAUCACUGGGCGUAAAGCGUGUGUAGGCGGUAUGUUAAGUGAUAUGCGAAAUCUCGUGGCUCAACCAUGUAGACUGUGUAUCAUACUGGCGUACUUGAGGAUGGCAGAGGCAAGUGGAAUUGGUAGUGUAGCAGUGAAAUGCGUAGAUAUUACCAGGAACACCAAUGGCGAAGGCAGCUUGCUGGGCCAUAUCUGACGCUGAGACACGAAAGCGUGGGGAGCGAACAGG
rnacentral:rRNA from 1 species